UUCGACGCCGGCGGCAGGCCUAACACAUGCAAGUCGAACGAUCCUUCGGGAUAGUGGCGGACGGGUGAGUAACACGUGGGAACGUGCCUUUUGGUUCGGAACAACUCAGGGAAACUUGAGCUAAUACCGAAUGUGCCCUUCGGGGGAAAGAUUUAUCGCCAUUAGAGCGGCCCGCGUCUGAUUAGCUAGUUGGCGAGGUAACGGCUCACCAAGGCGACGAUCAGUAGCUGGUCUGAGAGGAUGAUCAGCCACACUGGGACUGAGACACGGCCCAGACUCCUACGGGAGGCAGCAGUGGAGAAUCUUGCGCAAUGGGCGAAAGUCUGACGCAGCCAUGCCGCGUGAAUGAUGAAGGUCUUAGGAUUGUAAAAUUCUUUCACCGGGGACGAUAAUGACGGUACCCGGAGAAGAAGCUCCGGCA
rnacentral:rRNA from 1 species